CAGUAGCCACGGUAAUACGUAGGUCCCGAGCGUUGUCCGGAAUUAUUGGGCGUAAAGGGCUCGCAGGCGGUUUCUUAAGUCUGAUGUGAAAGCCCCCGGCUCAACCGGGGAGGGUCAUUGGAAACUGGGAAACUUGAGUGCAGAAGAGGAGAGUGGAAUUCCACGUGUAGCGGUGAAAUGCGUAGAGAUGUGGAGGAACACCAGUGGCGAAGGCGACUCUCUGGUCUGUAACUGACGCUGAGGAGCGAAAGCGUGGGGAGCGAACAGGAUUAGAUACCCCGGUAGUCCCUGUCUCUUAUAC
rnacentral:rRNA from 1 species